UACAGAGGUCCCAAGCGUUGUUCGGAAUGACUGGGCGUAAAGGGCGCGUAGGCGGUUUUUUAAGUGAGGCGUGAAAGCCCUGGGCUUAACCCAGGAGGUGCGUUUCAUACUGGAAGACUUGAGUGCGAGAGAGGAAAGUGGAAUUCCUAGUGUAGAGGUGAAAUUCGUAGAUAUUAGGAAGAACACCCGUGGCGAAGGCGGCUUUCUGGCUCGCAACUGACGCUGAGGCGCGAAAGCGUGGGGAGCAAACAGG
rnacentral:rRNA from 1 species